rnacentral:rRNA from 1 species
CGGGAGGUUGGCUUAGAAGCAGCCAUCCUUUAAAGAUAGCGUAACAGCUCACCGGUCUAAUAGAGUUUCUGCGCCGAAGAUGUAACGGGGCUAAAAUCAUAUACCGAAUCUGUGGAUUUAUAAUUUUUUCGAAAAUUAUAACUGGUAGCGGAACGUUCUGUAAGCCUGUAAAGGGAUACUCGUGAGAGAUCCUGGAGGUAUCAGAAGUGCGAAUGCUGACAUAAGUAACGAUAAAAGAAGUGAAAAACUUCUUCGCCGAAAAUCCAAGGGUUUCUGCGCAAGGUUAAUCCGCGCAGAGUUAGUCGGCACCUAAGGCGAGGGCGAAAGCCGUAGUCGAUGGAAAUAAGGUUAAUAUUCCUUAACCAGAUGGUAGUGACGGAUCUUGUAAAUUGUAAGCUCUUAAUGGAUUGAGCUUGCCGUGAAAAGGUUCCAAGAAAUAGCUCCAUCAUUAGACCGUACCCUAAACCGACACAGGUGGAUUAAUAGAGUAUAUUUAGGCGCUUGAGAGAAUGAUGUUGAAGGAACUCGGCAAAAUGCUUCCGUAACUUCGGAAUAAGGAAGACCUUUUUUUAGGCAACUAAAUUAAGGUGGCACAAGCUAGGGAGAAGCGACUGUUUAUCAAAAACACAGGGCUCUGCUAACACGUAAGUGGAUGUAUAGGUUCUGACGCCUGCCCGGUGCUGGAAGGUUAAUGCGAUGGGUGCAAGCUCAUUUCUGAAGCCCCAGUAAACGGCGCCCGUAACUAUAACGUUCCUAAGGUAGCGAAAUUCCUUGUCGGGUAAGUUCCGACCUGCAUGAAUGGCGUAACGAUUUCUCCGCUGUCUCCAACAUCAACUCAGUGAAAUUGAAUUCUCCGUGAAGAUGCGGAGUUCGCGUAGUUAGACGGAAAGACCCCGUGCACCUUUACUGCAACUUUACAUUGGUGUUAGGAAAAACAUAUUUAGCAUAGGAGGGAGACAUUGAAACAAAGGCGUCAGCUUUUGUGGAGUCACCAGUGAAAUACCUCUUUUGUUUUUCUUGAUAUCUAACCGAUUGCCGUUAUCCGGCAUCGAGACAUUGUAUGGUGGGUAGUUUGACUGGGGCGGUCGCCUCCCAAAUAGUAACGGAGGCGUGCGAAGGUAGGCUCAGAACGGUCAGAAAUCGUUCGUAGAGUGCAAUGGCAUAAGCCUGCCUGACUGUGAGACUGACAAGUCGAGCAGAGACGAAAGUCGGUCAUAGUGAUCCGGUGGUUCUGAGUGGAAGGGCCAUCGCUCAACGGAUAAAAGGUACGCCGGGGAUAACAGGCUGAUACUGCCCAAGAGCU